CUCCCCUCGGUUGUUUACGAAGUCGUCGCUGCCGGUGGUUGUCUUUUAGCACUCGUCCGAAGUUCGUGCGAUCUUUGCGUGCCUUGUCAGCUGCAAGAAUGGCAUCCAAGCCGAUUCUGUACUCUUUUCACAGCAGUUCUUGUGCCUGGCGGGUCAGAAUAGUCCUUGCGCUGAAGAACGUCGACUACGAAUACAAGACCGUCAAAUUGAGGACACCUGCCGGUGGGGAUCAGUACACAGAGGAAUUCAAGAAGCGCAACCCAAUGUUCC